ensembl:lncRNA
CUGAGGCUUUCACACCGCUCCUGGGUCCCUCCUGUCCAGGGGAUUGGCUCGGGGAGGGAGGGUGGUUGUGAAUGAGCUCCAGAACUCCUGUAUAAGUACACCUCACAUGGUUAUUAUUAAACAGAUGUGAUGAAGUAGAACCCAUGCUGCUGUUAUUGCAGGAAUCAGGACGGAACCAACCUUUAACUAGGUCGCUGACAAACGCCCCUUUAUGUACUCUGACUGUUUCCACGUUUGGUGAGGAACAGGAACAGGAACAGGAAGGAACUCAGCCAAGAAUGGAGGGAAGAGUCCAACUGAAAGAGAGGACUCUUAGGCUUCCUACACCUGCACUGGCAUUCAUUCAGUCCUUUACAGUACUUCUCUGGAUAUGUAUUCUAGCCCAGGGACGGGCAACUAGUCCACUUUCUAAAUGUGCUAGUUUCUCGUUAUGCAAGUCACUGACAGUCAGUCAAUUAGCCCAGCUAACAUUUUCUUUUAGAAGAGUAAGUUAGCUGGCUAGACUAUCUAAACUUGUAGUAAUCAUGGUCGAAUUACCAACUGGGGGGGGGGGGUCCCCCCAUUGAUUUUGUUAGUCACUCACUCAGAUAUCAUAUUAAAACUGCACUUCAUCAUGUGUCAAAAUGUGUAGAAUUGCAGAAAACGAUCUUCAGAACUGUCAAGAGGGGGACCAUUAAAAUGGUGAGCUCACAAGUAUGUCAACAUGUCCUUUGAUUGUUUUUGGUGAAAAGUCUGAUAAUGUCUAGACACUUUUUAUAGUGGAGAUCAAGUUUAUAAAUUGCCUGGCUGGGCUGAUGUAGCCUGAAGUGUAUCAUUUAUUCUAUUUGGGCCCCAUAUCUAUUUUUCAUUCUAUCAAUUCAGACCCAUUCAUAAACCACAUUGUGCAAUAAUUAAGUGUUAAUGCCCGAAUAAGACAAUGUUAGUCUAAAACAAAUGUGAGAUAAUGUCUAGACACUUUUUUAUAGUGGAGAUCAAGUUUAUAAAUUGCCUGGCUGGGCUGAUGAGACAGUGGAUUGCACAGUGAGAUGGAACAGAGUAAAUAGACAUUUCAACAUCAGAGAUUUAGCCGGUGUUAGCUUGUGAAAUAGACACUGGUUGGAAUGCAGUUUUAACCAAUCAGCAUUCAGGAUUAGACCCAACCCGUUGUAAAAUUAUGUAAUAAACACAGGUGAACGAUCAUUGCAACAUUCCACUGGACUGUUGUCUCUUUCUACUGGGCUUUCCUGAAGCAUGAAGCAUAUGUGACGACCCUCCCACUCUGUCUGCCGAAUUCUUUCUCUUUGCUCUUGUUUUCCUUAAUAGGAUGUAGGUGGGCGGGGCCGUCAGCUAAAUGGGACACACCUGGGCUCAGGUGUGUCCCAGAAUAAAUGCACUUCUUCCCCAUUCAUUGGGGAGACUCUCUCCAUGCAGACACAGACAGAUUUUGGUUGUGGCAUUUUUGUGGCUAUUUGGUUUGUUUGCGUUGGCACCUUUCAAACACCCCUCAUUAUCACAUGUACACACGCGACCACUCACUUACACUACUGACUACACACACACACACACACCAUUGUUAAUUGUAUUUAG